rnacentral:tRNA from 1 species
GGGAUAUGGCGAAAUCGGUAGACGCUACGGACUUAAAAUCCGUCG